rnacentral:lncRNA from 1 species
AUCUUAACAACAGAGAGUUGAUACUUAAUAAGAGCAUUGUAAGUACAAUUACUGUCAAACAAUCUUGUAGAAAAUAUCAUCCUUUAAAGUGAAUGAGACUAGUCUGAGGAAAAACAUUACAAAUGUAAAGAGGGUUAUAGUGCAUUUACUUGUAUCACAGAUCUUGUUGUACACAUUUUAUACUAAAAGGAAACCCCUGAAGCAGUUGCCCCAACUUUGUUCCACAUCAGAAAUUUAUUUUGGAGAAAAUCCCCGCAAGGGGGAAAAAAUUUGGGAAAAAUUUUUCUUUCCCCCAAAAAAUAUUACCCCAAAAAAAACCUGGGAGAAUUUAUUUUUUACCUAUUUUUUUUGGAAAUUGGGCCAUUUGGUUAAAAAUAUUAUUUU